GCUAUGACAAUGUUGCACUACUGUACUACUCACUCAAGCAGUGCAAUAGUAUUGUCAUAGCAU
rnacentral:pre_miRNA from 1 species